UACGAAGGGGGCUAGCGUUGCUCGGAAUCACUGGGCGUAAAGCGCACGUAGGCGGAUUGUUAAGUCAGGGGUGAAAUCCUGGAGCUCAACUCCAGAACUGCCUUUGAUACUGGCGAUCUUGAGUCCGGGAGAGGUGAGUGGAAUGCCGAGUGUAGAGGUGAAAUUCGUAGAUAUUCGGCGGAACACCAGUGGCGAAGGCGACUCACUGGCCCGAUACUGACGCUGAUGCGCGAAAGCGUGGGGAGCAAACAGGG
rnacentral:rRNA from 1 species